ensembl:lncRNA novel transcript
AGGGAAUGCUAUAAGCUGGAGAGAGAUCCUGACAACCCCCAGUGACUAUCUUUGUGCCCAUCCCUCAAAAAAAAAAAAAAAAAAAAUCCAGGCCGGCAUGAGGGACAGGAGCCCUUCCUGCAGUGGCUCAUGCUGCUCAGUAAUGAGUCAGCCCUGCCACAUGUGCAUACUGUGAGCUAUGGAGAUGAUGAGGACUCCCUCAGCAGCGCCUACAUCCAGCGGGUCAACACUGAGCUCAUGAAGGCUGCCGCUCGGGGUCUCACCCUGCUCUUCGCCUCAGGUGACAGUGGGGCCGGGUGUUGGUCUGUCUCUGGAAGACACCAGUUCCGCCCUACCUUCCCUGCCUCCAGCCCCUAUGUCACCACAGUGGGAGGCACAUCCUUCCAGGAACCUUUCCUCAUCACAAAUGAAAUUGUUGACUAUAUCAGUGGUGGUGGCUUCAGCAAUGUGUUCCCACGGCCUUCAUACCAGGAGGAAGCUGUAACGAAGUUCCUGAGCUCUAGCCCCCACCUGCCACCAUCCAGUUACUUCAAUGCCAGUGGCCGUGCCUACCCAGAUGUGGCUGCACUUUCUGAUGGCUACUGGGUGGUCAGCAACAGAGUGCCCAUUCCAUGGGUGUCCGGAACCUCGGCCUCUACUCCAGUGUUUGGGGGGAUCCUAUCCUUGAUCAAUGAGCACAGGAUCCUUAGUGGCCGCCCCCCUCUUGGCUUUCUCAACCCAAGGCUCUACCAGCAGCAUGGGGCAGGACUCUUUGAUCUCCGGUGUCGGCGGGUGGCGCGGCGCCCCCGGAGGGGGCCAUAUCUAACGGGGUUUACGUACUGCCGAGCGCGGCCAACGGAGACGUGAAGCCCGUGGUGUCCAGCACGCCUUUGGUGGACUUCUUGAUGCAGCUGGAAGAUUACACGCCUACGGUGGGCUUCCGCCCGAACAAGGCCACCUAGCCUGCUGUCAAAACUUUCAGCCACAUCGUGCUUUUCAGCGUUCUCUUCCAUUUGCUCCCCUAGUCGCUCUUCUGUGUUUGCCCUCUGCUCACCCAAACUAUCCCAGAUGCAGUGACUGGUUACUACCUGAACCGUGCUGGCUUUGAGGCCUCAGACCCACGCAUAAUUCGGCUCAUCUCCUUAGCUGCCCAGAAAUUCAUCUCAGAUAUUGCCAAUGAUGCCCUACAGCACUGCAAAAUGAAGGGCACGGCCUCCGGCAGCUCCCGGAGCAAGAGCAAGGACCGCAAGUACACUCUAACCAUGGAGGACUUGACCCCUGCCCUCAGCGAGUAUGGCAUCAAUGUGAAGAAGCCGCACUACUUCACCUGAGCCACCCAACCUAAAUGUACUUAUCUGUCCCCAUGUCCC